GAAGGCCUUCGGGUUGUAAAGCACUUUAAGUGGGGAGGAAAAGACGCUGCGUGAAUAUCGUAGUGCCGUGACGUUACCCACAGAAUAAGCACCGGCAAACUCCGUGCCAGCAGCCGCGGUAAUACGGAGGGUGCGAGCGUUAAUCGGAAUUACUGGGCGUAAAGCGCACGUAGGCGGUUCUGUAAGUGGGAUGUGAAACCCCCGGGCUUAACCUGGGACUUGCAUACCAGACUGCAAAGCUAGAGUAUGAGAGAGGGUGGUGGAAUUUCCGGUGUAGCGGUGAAAUGCGUAGAGAUCGGAAGGAACAUCAGUGGCGAAGGCGGCCACCUGGCUUAAUACUGACGCUGAGGUGCGAAAGCGUGGGGAUCAAACAGGAUUAGAUACCCUGGUAGUCCACGCCGUAAAACGAUGAGAACUAGCCGUUGGAUUCCUUAGAGGAUUUAGUGGCGCAGCUAACGCGAUAAGUU
rnacentral:rRNA from 1 species